rnacentral:rRNA from 1 species
GACGAACGCUGGCGGCGUGCUUAACACAUGCAAGUCGAACGGUGAAGCGCCUUCCUUUUUGGUGGGUGUGGAUGAGUGACGAACGGGUGAGUACCACGUGAGUAACCUGCCCCCUUCUUCUGGAUAACCGCAUGAAAGUGUGGCUAAUACGGGCUAUUCUGGGUCUGUCGCAUGAUGGGUCUGGGAAAGAUAUUGUUUCGGUGGGGGAUGGGCUCGCGGCCUAUCAGCUUGUUGGUGGGGUGAUGGCCUACCAAGGCGGUGACGAGUAGCCGGCCUGGGAGGGUGGACGGGCACACUGGGGAGGAGACACGGCCAAGACUGCGAUGGGAGGCAGCAGUGAGGAAUAUGGCACAAUGGGGGCAAGGCUGAUGCAGCGACGCCGCGUGAGGGAUGGAGGCCUGCGGGUUGUGAACCUCUUUCGCCAGUGAAGCAGGCCUGCCUCGUUUGUGAGUGGGUUGACGGUAGCUGGAUAAGAAGCGCCGGCUAACUACGUG